GGGUGUGAGGGCGAUCUGGCUGCGACAUCUGUCACCCCAUUGAUCGCUAGGGUUGAUUCGGCUGAUCUGGUUGGUUAGGCGGGUGUCCCCCUUCCCUCACAGCUCCAUGUGCGUCCCUCCCGAAGCUCAGCGCUCGGUCGCAGAGGACGACCCCCUAUAGAAGAAGGGCCGCUCCCGCCGGUCUAGGGUAUAUGACGUAGCUACUCCCCUGCUAUAGACCAAACCUCCAAGACCAUUUGUAGGAUCACGUAGGGAAGUCAAGCUCUCUCCAAGACUUCAGACACAUCCAAGUCAGGCACUGCACGUGGCAGUCUGCCGUUCUUU
rnacentral:snRNA from 1 species